rnacentral:rRNA from 1 species
UACGGAGGGUGCGAGCGUUGUCCGGAAUCACUGGGCGUAAAGGGCGCGUAGGCGGCGCGGGGAGUCAACGGUGAAAGCUCGGCGCUCAACGCCGAGUCGGCCGUCGAUACUCCCGUGCUCGAGCACUGUAGAGGCAGGUGGAAUUCCGGGUGUAGCGGUGGAAUGCGUAGAGAUCCGGAAGAACACCGGUGGCGAAGGCGGCCUGCUGG